GACGAACGCUGGCGGCGUGCUUAAUACAUGCAAGUCAACUGAACUUAAGGUAGCAAUAUUUUAAGGGAGGUGGCGCACGGGUGAGUAACACGUAGGUAAUCUGCCUUUAGGUCUGACACAACCUACCGAAAGGUAGGCUAAUAUCAGAUGAUGCAGCGGCUCGACAUCGAGACAGUUGUUAAACCUUCGGGGCCUAAAGAUGAGCCUGCGUCUGAUUAGGUAGUUGGCGGAGUAAUAGCCCACCAAGCCUGCGAUCAGUAGCUGGUCUGAGAGGAUG
rnacentral:rRNA from 1 species